rnacentral:rRNA from 1 species
CCUCCGGGUGGCAGCAGUGGGGAAUAUUGGGCAAUGGGCGCAAGCCUGACCCAGCAACGCCGCGUGAAGGCAGCAGGCUUUCGGGUUGUAAACUUCUUUUCUGCGGGACGCAGAACGUGACGGUACCUCAGGAAUACGCCACGGCUAACUACGUGCCAGCAGCCGCGGUAAUCCGUAGGUGGCAAGCGUUAUACGGAUUUAUUGGGUGUAAAGGGCGUGUAGGCGGGACAGCAAGUCAGAUGUGAAAACUCAGGGCUCAACCCUGAGCCUUCAUUUGAAACUGUUUUUCUUGAGUGCUGGAGAGGCAAUCGGAAUGCCGGGUGUAGCGGUGAAAUGCGUAGAUAUUAGGAGGAACACCGGUGGCGAAGGCGGCUUACUGGACCGUAACUGACGUUGAGGCUCGAAAGCGUGGGGAGCAAACAGGAUUAGAUACCCCUGUAGUC